rnacentral:rRNA from 1 species
GGAUUAGAUACCCUGGUAGUCCACGCCGUAAACGAUGUCUACUAGCCGUUGGGGCACUUGAUGCUUUAGUGGCGCAGCUAACGCGAUAAGUAGACCGCCUGGGGAGUACGGUCGCAAGAUUAAAACUCAAAUGAAUUGACGGGGGCCCGCACAAGCGGUGGAGCAUGUGGUUUAAUUCGAUGCAACGCGAAGAACCUUACCAAGACUUGACAUCCUGCGAACUUUCUAGAGAUAGAUUGGUGCCUUCGGGAACGCAGAGACAGGUGCUGCAUGGCUGUCGUCAGCUCGUGCCG